rnacentral:rRNA from 1 species
UACGAAGGGGCUAGCGUUGCUCGGAAUCACUGGGCGUAAAGGGUGCGUAGGCGGGUCUUUAAGUCAGGGGUGAAAUCCUGGAGCUCAACUCCAGAACUGCCUUUGAUACUGAAGAUCUUGAGUUCGGGAGAGGUGAGUGGAACUGCGAGUGUAGAGGUGAAAUUCGUAGAUAUUCGCAAGAACACCAGUGGCGAAGGCGGCUCACUGGCCCGAUACUGACGCUGAGGCACGAAAGCGUGGGUAGCAAACAGG